GCAAAGGGCUCCUCUGCCUAAAAGAUGACUGCUGCCAGGGGACACUCCAGUGUGACUAAACUGUCCCAUUUUUCAGGGAAAGGGAGAGAUCUGAAUGUUAUUGUGAAACACAUUACUUUUAAAUGUUGACAACAAUUAAAAAAAAAUUAAAACCCCGUGUGAGCCAAACAUAACACAUCCGUUGGCGGAUUCUGGGCUGUGGACCUUUAGGGAGAGACGGAGGCUGAAAGCAAAGGCAAAGCGGGAGAAGUGCUUCUGUUUGUAAAAAGGAGACCUGGAGCAGAUGGCCUGUGCAGAAGAGGAGGAGAAGAGUCUGGAGAGUUCGAUGGGACCUCAAACUGUUAACAGGAGCAACAGAGGAAGGAAACGCUCUCCUCACAGCUUAAACUUCCCUCGGCUUGUGCUUUAUGACCAUGAUGCUGAGCCCCCAGCAAAAGGGCCAACGCUGGAGAAAACCUUGAGAUCUGGUUGUUCAAAGGUUAUCAGCACACCUCUGCUUGAAAUCCACCAAAGCCACGCUUCCGUGUCCCGUUAAGCAAGAGGCCAGCCUCCUUCACACCAUCUUCUACAUUAUUUGGAUGCAUUUUCCCAAUUUGAGGUUUGCUUUGGAUGUCCAGAGCCUCAAAAAUGUGGUAGAAAAGGUGCUUUCAGUCUUUUUUCUCUACUGAGGACUCAGGCCCUUGAGAUGCCUGAUGUGGGAUGUUGGGGUGGGAUGUAUGUGUAGGGGGGGGGGUGACACCAAAAUGUCCUUGGAACUCCCUCCCUCCGAACUACUGGGUUGCCCCCAAGCCACAUGGUGUGCUGUCUCCUUUUGCAGAGCUGUCUUCCCCGGGAGGCUCCUUAGGCCCUCGUGGGCACACACGUUGACACCAACCCUCAAGUUCUGCUUGGCCUCAAAACUCCCGAGACAAGGGCUGCAGGGAAGAUUGGGCUUCAGUGAUGCCCACAGGAGCAAAAGAGAACAAAACAAAACAAAAGAGGACAGAUCUGAGCAAGGAGGGGGAACUAGUGAGGCUUUCCAUCUCAUUAGUUACAGGUGAUGAAAGAGAAGAAAGAUGAUUCAGGUUCACCUCCUUGGACCCCACCAGGAAGGCUCAGGAUUACAGAGAAUGAAUUCUGCCAGGAGGUCAUACCCUCAAAUGCAGCCUUUCCAUUGGCAAUCCUGAGAACAGGGGUGACCAUGAUCAAAAGGUGGAAGUGAUAAUAUUGGCCUGAAAGGUUAGACACAGACCUAUUUAUCCUAGAAGGAGAGUUGAGAUGUCCGUUCAGUUUUUUUAACUCAAUGAAUUUUAUUACAUUUAUAGUCAUACAACCAUCAUCACAACCCAAUUUUAUAGCAUUUCCAUCCCAGACCCCCAGCACAUCCCCCCCCCCCAACCUGUCUCCUUUGGAAACCAUAAGUUUUUCAAAGUCUGUGAUUCAGAAUCUGUUCUCCAAAGAAAUUCAUUGUGUCCUUUUUUAAUUUUUUAUUAUUUUUAUUUUUUGUCUUUUUCUAGGGCCGCAUCCGCGGCACGUGGAGGUGUCUAGGCUAGGGGUCUAAUCAGAGCUGAAGCCUCCAGCCUAUGCCACAGCCACAGCAAUGCCAGAUCCAAGCCGUGUCUGUGGUCUACACCACAGCUCAUAGGAAUGCCAGAUCUUUAACCCACUGAGUGAGGCCAGGGAUCAAACCCGCAACCUCAUGGUUCCUAGUCGGAUUUGUUAACCCCUGAGCCACAACAGGAACUCCUCAUUGUGUCCUUUUUUUUGGAUUCCACAGGUAAGUGAUAGCAUGUGAUGUUGGUGUCUCACUGUCUGACUGACUCCACUUAGCGUAAUUUCUAGGGCCAUCCAUGUUGCUACAGAUGUCAUUAUUUCUUUCCUUUUGAUGGCUGAGUAAUAUUCCAUUGUGUAUAGGUACCACAUCUUCUUUAUCCACUCCUCUGUCGAUGGACAUUUAGGUUGUUUCCAUGUCUUGGCUCUUGUAUAUAGUGCUGCAAUGUACGUGGAGUACAUGUAUUUCUUCCAAUCAUGGUUUUCUCUGGAUAGAUGCCCAGGAGCAGGAUUGCUGGAUCAAAUGGCAAAAACUAAGUUUCAGAAAACUAAAAAUAGAAUUACCAUUUGAUCCAGCAAUGUCCGUUCAACUUCAUGGCUUUCUUUUGCCCCUUAUCUUCACCCCUUUAGGGCACUGGACACUUGGUUGGCACUUGUGGCCUCUUUGAAAUAGUCUCUGCACUCAGCUUCUGUAUUAGUCAAGGAAGGAGAGAGGGAGAGAGGAAUUUAUUUUCAGGAAUUGGCUCCCAGGAUUAUGGGAGCUGGCAAAUCUGAAAUCUGUAGGGCAGGCCAGCAGGAUGGAAACUCAGGCAGGAUUUCAAAGUUAGUCUUGCGGUAAAUUCCUUCUUGUUCAGGAAAUCUUAGUCUUUGCUCUGAAGGCCCUUAAUGGACUGAAUAAGGCCUUUCCGUGUUAUCCAGGUUGAUCUUCUGUACUUCAAGAUUGUAAAGGUCGAAUUUCCUGUCACAGCUCAGCGAUUAGCGAACCCAACUAGCAUCCACGAGGAGGCAGGUUUGAUCCCUGGCCUCGCUCAGUGGGUUAAGGAUCUGGCAUUCCUGUGAGCUGUGGUGUAGGUCACAGAUGCUGCUCGGAUCCCGCAUUGCUGUGGCUGUGGAAUAGGCUGGCAGCUGUAGCUCUGAUUGGACCCCUAGUCUGGGAACCUCCAUAUGCCGAGGGUGCAGCCCUAGGAAGACAAAAAGACCAAAAAAAAAAAAAAAAAAAAAAAAAAAAAAAAAG
rnacentral:lncRNA from 1 species